rnacentral:rRNA from 1 species
CGUGGUGGUGGGGGAUAACGUUCGGGAACGGACGGUAAUACCGCAUGCGUCCUACGGGAGAAAGCAGGGGGCCUUCGGGCCUUGCGCUAUCAGAUGAGCCUAGGUCGGAUUAGCUAGUGGGUGAGGUGAUGGCUCACCAAGGCGACGAGCCGUAACUGGUCUGAGAGAAUGGUCAGUCACAUUUUAAGGGAGACACGGUCCACCCCUCCUGCGGGAGGCAGCAGUGGGGAAGAUUGGACAAUGGGCGAAAGCCUG